GACGAACGCUGGCGGCGUGCCUAAUACAUGCAAGUUGAGCGCUGAAGGUUGGUACUUGUACCAACUGGAUGAGCAGCGAACGGGUGAGUAACGCGUGGGGAAUCUGCCUUUGAGCGGGGGACAACAUUUGGAAACGAAUGCUAAUACCGCAUAAAAACUUUAAACACAAGUUUUAAGUUUGAAAGAUGCAAUUGCAUCACUCAAAGAUGAUCCCGCGUUGUAUUAGCUAGUUGGUGAGGUAAAGGCUCACCAAGGCGAUGAUACAUAGCCGACCUGAGAGGGUGAUCGGCCACAUUGGGAAUGAGACACGGCCCAAACUCCUACGGGAGGCAGCAGGAGGGAAUCUUCGGCAAUGGACGAAAGUCUGACCGAGCAACGCCGCGUGAGUGAAGAAGGUUUUCGGAUCGUAAAACUCUGUUGGUAGAGAAGAACGUUGGUGAGAGUGGAAAGCUCAUCAAGUGACGGUAACUACCCAGAAAGGGACGGCUAACUACGUG
rnacentral:rRNA from 1 species